ensembl:lincRNA M04F3.7 ncRNA
ACUUCGUCGAAUCGAGGGACCAUCAAAAUUGCACGGAUGAAACAAGGAUGUGCUUCUCCAGUCCACCUACAUCCGCCCGAGCUGCUCAUCCUCCAAAUUCUUCCGUUUUCAUGACAAAUUAUUGUUUUUUUUGUUGAAAUUAUGUAAUUCAUUAAAUGUAAUAUUAUCCUUAUCUGUAAAUAAUUAUCAUGAUCAAUAAAAUAUCGCUCUUAAUGUUCAAUGAAUAGC